CCCUCGCCGCCGCCGCGAAGAGCCAGACGCCUCGCGCCGCCCGCAGAGUAGGGGAUCCUGCUCGCUGCCUUCCCUGGAAACCUACCCAGGCGAUGGAGCAUGCGCAGGCGGCUCCUCCGCGGGCGAGCCCUCCGUGUGGUCCAUGGGGAGCGCUCCGGUUAUCCGGGUUUUAGGACGCGCUUUGAGGGACGUACGUGGAGACUGAGGAAAACCGGAGGGGAUUACUACGGGGACGAGGAAUGGAGGGGUCAGGAGGCGGGGCCGAGGAGAAGGGAGGAGGGGUCCUGGGAAAAUGGGCUGCGUUUCACAGGCCUAGAUGAAACACCUCCUCAAUGGGUGUUUUCCAAGCGGCUUCCCGCUCACUCUGGGUUCCCAGCUAUUUUCAUUCAUUCAAACGUUCCCUGGGCGCCUCCUUUAUGCUAAUCUCGGCGUUUGGUGCAGGAGCGCCAGAGAUGUCUGGGGUUCGGGCAAGUGACACGUCGGGGACUGUCUUCAUUCAUUACACCCCCCCAUGCUAAUGAGGAGGCCCUUCCAGAGCUCCUCAAGCGGAAAACUUUUGCAGUUGAGCUCUCUCGCCUUAGCGUUCUCCUUGGGUGUGAAAUGAGGUCAAGCCAAGGCCUCUAGCAAAGACACCCCUAAUGGCCACCUCGCAGACACACGCCAGAGCGCGGAGUAGUUCUCUCCAGAAGGGAAAACUGCCUUGGAAUUGAGAGCCACAUUCUCCCACCUCCGAGUCUGCCCAGAGGACCCGAUCAAAGCUCUUGCCGCUCGCGUGCUGCAUGGCCUCUCUAAGACCCCAUCGCAGCCACCACCGUGUGUGAGCCCAGAGAUUCCCAGAUCCAGCACUGCCUCCCGCAGGGAGCCCCAAAACCCGGAGAACUGGAAUUCGCCGCCCGAAACCUGUUGAAGGCGCUGCAGGAUUGGCGCGGCCCGCGCGAGCGGCACUGCGCAUGUACCCAAUGCGGGCAGUCCAGUCUCACGCUACACCUCCUUCCCACCGCCUUCCACUACUCGGCUCAGACACAACACGGCCGUGGGAAAUUUCCUAAACCUCGCGAGAACGUGCCCCUGUUGCCUAAGCUUUCGCCCCAAAUCUCGCGGAGCCAAGGCAGGACAGGUGUUUGCCUAGACCAGCUCCGGGCGCCGUUCGUGCAGCGCGUGCCCGGGAGGCGGGCGGCGGGCGGCGGGCGCGGGCGGGGUGGGAAGGGAGCGGCUUGCCGCGGAGGCGGGGCGGGAAGGCGCGUGGCUGGGAGCACGGGGCGGAGGGCGGCGGGGGAGGAGACCCGCGUCUCGCACACAACACGCACACGCCCUGUGACGCUGGAUGGAAGACGAGGGGUGGGGAGCCUCGAACGGAGGAAGGGGAAGCCAGGAGGUUGGAAGUCGCUGCCGGUACGGAGAGUGAGAGGUCAGGCUCUAGGGCAGGAGGAGCCCCAGGCCGAUCUCCCGGGGAGGUUUCCUGUCGCCCUCCACAAGCCUGGUACUUUCCUAAAACGUGUUAGACACCGCGCCCCCCGCCUCCGGGAGCUGACAGACAGCCUCCAGAGUCGGGUUUGAGUCAUGCCUUGAGUCACCUAGUCUGGCCACUACUUCGCUUACUUUGAAACAAGUUCUGAUUCCUUAGCUACUCUACUUUAGCAAUUGGUUUCUUUUUUUUUUUUUUUUUUUUUUUUUGAGACGGAGUCUUGCUCUGUCGCCUAGGCUAGAGUGCAGUGGCGCGAUCUCGGCUCACUGCAAGCUCCGCCUCCUGGAUUCACGCCAUUCUCCUGCCGCAGCCUCCUGAGUAGCUGGAACUACAGGCGCCCGCCACCACGCCCGGCUAAUUUUUUCUAUUUUUUAGUAGACGGAGUUUUACCAUGUUAGUCAGGAUGGUCUCGAUCUCCUGACCUCGUGAUCCGCCCGCCUCGGCCUCCCAAAGUGCUGGGAUUACACGUGUGAGCCACCGCGCCUGGCAGCAAUUGGUUGUUUUCUUUCUAAUCUACCCGCUGGCCCUGUGAGCUGGGUAGAAAAAUAAAUAAAUAAAUAAAUAAACAGCUCUGCGCUCUCGCCUUGUUGCCUUGUAUAGAUUCUUGCUCCCGUUUAAGGACACGAUUUUUAAAAUUUCUUGUCAGUCUCUUCUUAGCCUUUUGAAGUAAUCUUACAAAUCAGUUUCUGUUUUUUCCUCCCACUAAUAUGGCUUUUUUGCUUUCCGUCACCUUUCCGUAUUUUUAUUGCAAUAUUCCAUUUUACGUAUGGCUGCGGCAGGUGCUAUAGUGACUACUGUUUUAAAUGCAGCCCUUCCUUUUGGAUCAUUCAUCCAAUGAGUUCCUGAUUACGUAAAUUCUUCAAUCAGCCACGUUUCAGAUUGGCCCUGAUGUGGUUUCUAUACCAGCCUUAGCCUGGCAUUAUCUAGGAACCAGUGUCUUCCUGCUCACGUCACAGCCCCGCAAAUGUAGAGUUGAAUUGAAUUUUGAUAUUUGGAGGACAGUGAGUUCUCUAAUAGGAAACCCUGGUUUUUAAGUUGUUUUCAAGGUUUUAGGGGUGUGUGUGUGUGUGUGUGUGCGUGUGUGUGUGUUUGUGUUUGCCUAUUGAUUAUAUACACAAAAAAACAGACUUAAAACCAUUUGGUGCAAUAUCUCAGUGCAAGUCUGGCUUGGAACAGGAUAGCUCAGGAGGAGGACAAAGCCCUUGGGGCACAUAUUCCUUGGAGCUGUCAUCCCAAGAAGGUAUUUCAGUCAUGGCCUAGUCCAGACCACUGAUCUAAUUUGGAAUCAUGGCCUUCUGAGAGCCCCAGCGACCUUGGGAAGCCAUGGUAACCACAAAGGGAAUAACAGCUCCCCCUUUUUGCCCUAAAACAUGCUCCAUCUGCAGCCCUCCCCCAUCUCAGGAAAGGACAACUCCAUUCUUCCACUUAUGUCAAGAACCUUGGAGUCCUUGCCUCCUUUCUCACACCCAAGAUACAAUUGGACGGAAAAUCCUAUUGGCUCCACCUUCAGAAUAUACUCACAUUCCAAAUACUGUCACACCUCUUUAGCUACUAGCCUAGUCUAACCCAUCUUAUUUCCCACCUGGUUUAAGGAAGUUCCCUAACUGGUCCUCCCUUCUUCCGUUCUUGUCUUCCCGCAGUCUGUGCUAAUAGAGCAUUCUCAGUGGCCCUCUAGAACUCCUCCAUGACUUUCCCAUUUCACUAUGAGGACUUAGACAAUCUUGCCUACUGCCAAACCCCCCCUGAUCUAUCUGCCUUCACCUCCUCCUCUACCUCUCACUCUGUGGGCUCUCACCAGUUGCCUUCCUUACUGUUCCUGGGAUGCCCCAAGCACACUUUCAGCUCCAAGCCUUUGCUUUUUCCACUACCUGGAAUGCUCUUCCCUCAUAUACCUUAUAGCUCAUUCCCUCACUCCUUUCUUGUCUUUGCCUGAUGUCACCUCCUCAGGGAGGCCUUCCCUGACACCCUUCCCAAGAGGGACUCCCAUACUCCUUAUCCCCCUUUCUGCUUGAUUUUGUCCAUGGCACCUAUCAUUAACUAACAUAACAUUUAUCAUACUUGUGUGUUGUGUUUACUAUCUGCCUCCUUCCAUUAUAAUGUAAUAUUAAUAAGGGCAAGGACUUUUGUCUAGUUUGUUCAUUAUUCAAGCCUUAGCUGCUGGAACAAUGCCUGCUGUAUUAUAUUUGUAGAAUGAAUGGGGUGUCUUCCACUUUAGGGCAGAGUAAAAAUGAUUCUGAAGACUAAGCCUCCUAGGGUUCAAAACAAUAUUAGGACUAGACUAGCAGUGAGUACUAGCCUGCCUAGGGAGGAGAAAAAGGCAUAUGGAGCAACCACCUGUGUUGGUUUUUUGCAAAAAAAAAAAAAAAAAAAAAAAAAAAGUCGUCUGGGUUAGACCAGUAGAUGAGGCUGCACUUAAGAGUUUCCUUUACUCUCCAUUUUAGAACUUCAGGAAAAAAACAACAAAAACACCACUAGCCGGAUAUGUGUGUGUGUGUAUAUAU
rnacentral:lncRNA from 10 species